UACAGAGGUCCCAAGCGUUGUUCGGAUUCACUGGGCGUAAAGGGUGCGUAGGCGGUUGGGUAAGUCUGAUGUGAAAUCUCACAGCUUAACUGUGAAACUGCAUUGGAUACUAUCCGGCUAGAGGAAUGGAGGGGAGACUGGAAUACUUGGUGUAGCAGUGAAAUGCGUAGAUAUCUAGUGGAACACCAGUGGCGAAGGCGAGUCUCUGGACAUUUCCUGACGCUGAGGCACGAAAGCCAGGGGAGCAAACGGG
rnacentral:rRNA from 1 species